rnacentral:rRNA from 1 species
AUGCCUCCCUAUUCACCUCAAUCAAAUGGAGUGGCCGAGAGGAAAAACCGCACAUUGACUGACUUGGUGAAUGCCAUGUUAGACACUGCUGGUUUAUCUAAGGCAUGGUGGGGGGAGGCUCUAUUGACUUCAUGUCAUGUCCUGAAUAGAGUUCCCAACAAUAAUAAAGAGAAAACCCCUUAUGAGGAGUGGGUUGGGAGAAAACCAUCAUUUUCUUAUUUGCGCACUUGGGGAUGUUUGGCAAAGGUCAAUAUUCCUAUUCCUAAGAAACGCAAACUUGGACCAAAGACAGUGGAUUGUGUCUUUCUAGGGUAUGCUCAACGGAGCAUUGCUUAUAGGUUUUUAGUGGUAAAAUCUGAAAAGGAUAACAAUGAAGUUCCUAGAAGGAACAAGAGACAAAGGAUUGCAAAAUCUUUUGGUGAUGAUUUCAUUGUAUACCUUGUGGACAACACACCCAAGACGAUUGCAGAAGCAUAUGCAUCUCCGGAUGUAGAUGAUUGGAAAGAAGCUGUUCAUAAUGAGAUGGACUCAAUUCUUUCUAAUGGAACUUGGGAACUAACUGAUAGACCAUAUGGUUGUAAACCUGUGGGCUGUAAGUGGGUGUUCAAAAAGAAGCUAAAGCCUGAUGGUACUAUUGAUAAGUACAAGGCGCGGCUAGUGGCCAAGGGCUACACUCAGAAAGAAGGCGAAGAUUACUUUGACACCUAUUCACCCGUUGCUAGAAUGACCACCAUUCGAGUGUUACUUUCCUUGGCUGCCUCUUAUGGUCUUAUCAUUCAUCAAAUGGAUGUAAAGACAGCUUUUCUCAAUGGAGAGUUGGAAGAGGAGAUCUAUAUGGAUCAGCCUGACGGGUUUGUGGUAAAGGGUGAAGAGAGAAAGGUGUGCAAGUUGUUAAAAUCUUUGUAUGGUCUGAAACAGGCACCUAAGCAAUGGCAUGAGAAGUUUGAAAGAACUUUGACUUCUGCAGGAUUUGUCAUUAACGAGGCUGAUAGGUGUGUUUACUAUCGCCAUGGUGGGGGCAAUAGUGUCAUAUUAUGUUUGUAUGUGGACGACAUACUGAUCUUUGGUACAAACAUUAAUGCAAUUAAUGAGGUCAAGUCUUUUCUAUCAAAAAGUUUUGACAUGAAAGAUCUGGGAGAAGCCGAUGUAAUUCUAAACAUCAAACUUAUUAAGGAUGAGAGUGGGAUUACAUUAACGCAAUCUCACUAUGUUGAGAAGGUCUUGAACCGAUUCGGUUUUAUGGAUAGCAAGCCUUCUCCAACCCUUAUGAUCCCAGCGUGA